AACGAACGCUGGCGGCAUGCCUAACACAUGCAAGUCGAACGAGACCUUCGGGUCUAGUGGCGCACGGGUGCGUAACGCGUGGGAACCUGCCCUUAUGUUCGGAAUAACUCUCCGAAAGGGGUGCUAAUACCGGAUAAUGUCUUCUGACGAAAGAUUUAUCGCCUUUGGAUGGGCCCGCGUUGGAUUAGCUAGUUGGUAGGGUAAUAGCCUACCAAGGCGACGAUCCAUAGCUGGUCUGAGAGGAUGAUCAGCCACACUGGGACUGAGACACGGCCCAGACUCCUACGGGAGGCAGCAGUGGGGAAUAUUGGACAAUGGGCGAAAGCCUGAUCCAGCAAUGCCGCGUGAGUGAUGAAGGCCUUAGGGUUGUAAAGCUCUUUUACCCGGGAAGAUAAUGACGGUACCGGGAGAAUAAGCCCCGGCUAACUCCGUG
rnacentral:rRNA from 1 species